rnacentral:rRNA from 1 species
UACGUAGGGUGCGAGCGUUAAUCGGAAUUACUGGGCGUAAAGCGUGCGCAGGCGGUUUUUUAAGCCAGCUGUGAAAUCCCCGGGCUUAACCUGGGAAUGGCAUUUGGGACUGCAAGGCUUGAGUUUGGCAGAGGAGACUGGAAUUCCUGGUGUAGCAGUGAAAUGCGUAGAUAUCAGGAGGAAUACCGAUGGCGAAGGCAGGUCUCUGGGCUAGAACUGACGCUCAUGCACGAAAGCGUGGGGAGCAAACAGG